rnacentral:rRNA from 1 species
GACAGAGGUGCCGAGCGUUAGGCGGAAUCACUGGGCUUAAAGCGUGUGUAGGCGGGCGGGCAAGUACCUUGUGAAAUCCCACGGCUCAACCGUGGAACGGCUGGGUAUACUGCCUGUCUUGAGCCAACUAGGGGCGACCGGAACAAACGGUGGAGCGGUGAAAUGCGUAGAUAUCGUUUGGAACGCCGAUGGUGAAAACAGGUCGCUGGGGUUGUGCUGACGCUGAGACACGAAAGCCAGGGGAGCGAACGGG